GAUGAACGCUGGCGGUCUGCUUAACACAUGCAAGUCGAACGGGAGGAGAAAUCCUCUAGUGGCGGACGGGUGAGUAACGCGUGAGAAUCUGCCUUCAGGUCGGGGACAACAGCUGGAAACGGCUGCUAAGACCCGAUGUGCUUUACGGUGAAAGAUUUAUCGCCUGAAGAUGAGCUCGCGUCCGAUUAGCUAGUUGGUGGGGUAAGAGCCUACCAAGGCGUCGAUCGGUAACUGGUCUGAGAGGACGACCAGUCACACUGGGACUGAGACACGGCCCAGACUCCUACGGGAGGCAGCAGUGGGGAAUUUUCCGCAAUGGGCGAAAGCCUGACGGAGCAAGACCGCGUGAGGGACGAAGGCUCUUGGGUUGUAAACCUCUUUUCUCAGGGAAGAAACCUGACGGUACCUGAGGAAUAAGCAUCGGCUAACUCCGUGCCAGCAGCCGCGGUAAUACGGAGGAUGCAAGCGUUAUCCGGAAUUAUUGGGCGUAAAGCGUUCGCAGGUGGCUGUUCAAGUCUGCUGUCAAAGCCCGGGGCUUAACCCUGGAAAGGCGGUGGAAACUGAGUAGCUAGAGUGCAGUACGGGUAGAGGGAAUUCCCAGUGUAGCGGUGAAAUGCGUAGAGAUUGGGAAGAACACCGGUGGCGAAAGCGCUCUGCUGGACUGCAACUGACACUGAGGGACGAAAGCUAGGGGAGCGAAAGGGAUUAGAUACCCCUGUAGUCCUAGCCGUAAACGAUGGAUACUAGGCGUUGCCGGGCUCGACCCUGGCAGUGUCGUAGCUAACGCGUUAAGUAUCCCGCCUGGGAAGUACGCACGCAAGUGUGAAACUCAAAGGAAUUGACGGGGGCCCGCACAAGCGGUGGAGUAUGUGGUUUAAUUCGAUGCAACGCGAAGAACCUUACCAGGGCUUGACAUGUCGCGAAUCCCGGUGAAAGCUGGGAGUGCCUUCGGGAGCGCGAACACAGGUGGUGCAUGGCUGUCGUCAGCUCGUGUCGUGAGAUGUUGGGUUAAGUCCCGCAACGAGCGCAACCCUCGUUUUCAGUUGCCAUCAUUAAGUUGGGAACUCUGAAGAGACUGCCGGUGACAAACCGGAGGAAGGUGGGGAUGACGUCAAGUCAGCAUGCCCCUUACGUCCUGGGCAACACACGUACUACAAUGCUGCGGACAGAGGGUAGCAAGCCGGCAACGGCAAGCCAAUCCCGUAAACCGUGGCUCAGUUCAGAUCGAAGCUUGCAACUCAGCUUCGUGAAGGCGGAAUCGCUAGUAAUCGCAGGUCAGCAUACUGCGGUGAAUACGUUCCCGGGCCUUGUACACACCGCCCGUCACACCAUGGGAGCUGGUUUAGCCCGAAGUCGUUACUCUAACCGCGAGGAGGAGGACGCCGAAGGCUGGGCUGGUGACUGGGGUGAAGUCGUAACAAGGUAGCCGUACCGGAAGGUGUGGCUGGAUCACCUCCUUUUUAGGGAGACCUGCUUGCUGAUGAUCGAUACCCAAUAGAAAAAGGUCACAGUUAAGUCAUCCCAAGGUCGAGCGAGGUUUUUGAGAAAAUGGCUUUCAAACUAAUUCCCGGUUCGUUUCCAGGUCUUUUCUGACAUGGGCUAUUAGCUCAGGUGGUUAGAGCGCACCCCUGAUAAGGGUGAGGUCCCUGGUUCGAGUCCAGGAUGGCCCACCUGAAGAACUGAAAAAUUAACAGAGUGGGGGUAUAGCUCAGUUGGUAGGGCGCUGCCUUUGCAAGGCAGAUGUCAGCGGUUCGAGUCCGCUUACCUCCACCAAAAAAAGAGUGUUUUGAUUCUAGACAGAAUUCCGGAGAGGAUGUGUUAAGAUGAAAGACCGGGGUUGAGGCUUAAGCCAGUCAGAGGGCUGCCGGUUCAAAGAAAAAAAUUCCCCAAAAGGGAUUGACAAUCAAAAAGCCUCCGUGCUAAAGUAAAAGACCGGGGCAUAAAAAAGGAGUGGGAGAGUUGAGAAACGACCCCAACUGAAGAUUUCAGCCCGCCGGUGAAAAGAGAAAAAAUUUCAGAAAGGGGAUUGACAAUCAAAAAGCGAGAGUGAUAAGAUAAAAGACCGGAAAGAAGAAGAAAAGAAGUGAGAGAUUUCAGCAACGACCCAAGUUAUGGACUUGAGCGCCUGCUGGAUUCUAAUCCAGUCAGAACCUUGAAAACUGCAUAGCAACUUGUCAGGGAGAAGCUUUUAGUGAAUAGCUGAAAGCUGAUCAAACAGACAUCAAUGCUAAACGUGGUCAAGCUACAAAGGGCUGACGGUGGAU
rnacentral:rRNA from 1 species